GUGUGACGUCACAAGGCUGCGCCGCUUCCGCGCUGCGGUUCAACUGGAGGAAGGAUAAAGUGUCCAAACACAGAGAAAAACUCCUGCUGAAGCGACUGAUCUACACACUGUUAUAAAGAUGGCGUUUAUUAAAGAGGAGAGUGAAGAUGUGAAGAUUGAAGAAACAUUCAGAGUGAAAAAGGAAGAUCCGCCGGAACAAACAGACCUAAUUGAAGAGAAUGAGAGGAAAGAGGAGGAACAUCAUAUCAAAAUUGAGG